GGCUCAAUGGUCUAGUGGUAUGAUUCGUGCUUCGGGAAAUAUACAUCAUCCCACAGUUCUCAAUACCAGAUUAAAGAACUGAAAGAAUAUUGUGCGAGGUCUCGGGUUCGAUCCCCGAUUGAGCCC